rnacentral:ncRNA from 1 species
CUCUAGUCCGACUUUGUGAAAUGACUUGGGAGGUGUAGGAUAAGUGUGAGCCCUCAGGCGAAGGUGAAAUACCACUACUUUUAACGUUAUUUUACUUUUAACCCUUAUCUACUUUGUUAGCUUGGCAUUUUCACCUAUAGCUUUUAUUGGACUGAACUAUGACUUGAAAGUUCCAAAGAUUGAAUUCUUAUCACAUGCAAAGCCUUCAUUGUUUGAGUAUCCAAAGCCAACAACUGUGCCCACCACUACAUCAGCUGUGAAACUUCCUACUGCUGUUCUGUCAACGUCAGCUAAGGCUAAAGCUAGGGCCAAGAAAGAAGCAGACCAGAAG